rnacentral:lncRNA from 1 species
GGAAGAAGAGGAGCAGAGGACAUUAUUAUCUGGCAGGGAGCCCAGUGCAAGGUGGAGCUUUGGGAGCCAGGUGGAGCUCAGAGCAAGGUGGAGCUCCAGGAGACGGAUCAGACAUGAGACAGGAGACUCGGGAGGACGAGAGGCGACAUCGCAAGGUGAGAUUCCUAUUACCGCAGGAUGAUGCCCCGAGUAGGUCUUA